rnacentral:rRNA from 1 species
GACGAACGCUGGCGGCGUGCCUAAUACAUGCAAGUAGAACGCUGAAGCGAGGAGCUUGCUCUUCUUGGAUGAGUUGCGAACGGGUGAGUAACGCGUAGGUAACCUGCCUUGUAGCGGGGGAUAACUAUUGGAAACGAUAGCUAAUACCGCAUAACAAUGGAUGACACAUGUCAUUUAUUUGAAAGGGGCAAUUGCUCCACUACAAGAUGGACCUGCGCUGUAUUAGCUAGUAGGUGAGGUAAUGGCUCACCUAGGCGACGAUACAUAGCCGACCUGAGAGGGUGGUCGGCCACACUGGGACUGAGACACGGCCCAGACUCCUACGGGAGGCAGCAGUAGGGAAUCUUCGGCAAUGGGGGCAACCCUGACCGAGAAACGCCGCGUGAGUGAAGAAGGUUUUCGGAUCGUAAAGCUCUGUUGUAAGUCAAGAACGGGUGUGAGAGUGGAAAGUUCACACUGUGACGGUAGCUUACCAGAAAGGGACGGCUAACUACGUG